AAGGUCAGCUCCACUGGAAGAGCAGUAAAGGAAGAGCCCAAGAGAUCAAUGAGCUAAGCCUGUUCCUGCAAAAGUAGAAAUGAAGCCAAGAAAGGCAGCAGGAAAGGAUAAACCUUUAGACAAAAAAAAAAAAAAAAAAAAAAAAAGCAAACAAAAAGGUAAAGGGAGCAAAGGGAAGUGACUAACCAAGAGACCAAAUAAAAUUUACCUGCAGAAAACAGAGAAACUAAAAAUGAGGAGAGUCCAGCCUCUGAUGAAGUGAAAUGAAAGAAGCCAAGUCUAGUUAAUAUUAUAUAUCAUGGCUUAUCAGUGAUUCUUGUCUCCCUUCUUAUAAAUCCAGAGGAAUAUUUUUAUCAACCAUUUUGUAAAUGCAAGUUUUUUAGUAGUUCUAGAAGCAUUUUUAGGAAAGGGAAAAUCCCACCUCUUCCCAUUUUUUAAGUGUAAUUUUUUAAGAGGUAAAAUCAUUUUCUGUUUUUUAUUAUUAUUAUUAUUUUUUUGGUGUAACCAGAAAAUCGUG
rnacentral:lncRNA from 1 species